rnacentral:rRNA from 1 species
GAUGAACGCUGGCGGCGUGCUUAACACAUGCAAGUCGAACGGUGAAGCCAAGCUUGCUUGGUGGAUCAGUGGCGAACGGGUGAGUAACACGUGAGCAACCUGCCCUGGACUCUGGGAUAAGCGCUGGAAACGGCGUCUAAUACUGGAUAUGAGCUCUCAUCGCAUGGUGGGGGUUGGAAAGAUUUUUUGGUCGGGGAUGGGCUCGCGGCCUAUCAGCUUGUUGGUGAGGUAAUGGCUCACCAAGGCGUCGACGGGUAGCCGGCCUGAGAGGGUGACCGGCCACACUGGGACUGAGACACGGCCCAGACUCCUACGGGAGGCAGCAGUGGGGAAUAUUGCACAAUGGGCGGAAGCCUGAUGCAGCAACGCCGCGUGAGGGAUGACGGCCUUCGGGUUGUAAACCUCUUUUAGCAGGGAAGAAGCGAGAGUGACGGUACCUGCAGAAAAAGCGCCGGCUAACUACGUGCCAGCAGCCGCCGUAAAAC